rnacentral:rRNA from 1 species
UACGAAGGGGGCUAGCGUUGCUCGGAAUCACUGGGCGUAAAGCGCACGUAGGCGGAUCUUUAAGUCAGGGGUGAAAUCCUGGAGCUCAACUCCAGAACUGCCUUUGAUACUGAGGAUCUUGAGUCCGGGAGAGGUGAGUGGAACUCCGAGUGUAGAGGUGAAAUGCGUAGAUAUUGGGAGGAACACCAGUGGCGAAGGCGGGUUGCUGGGCCGACACUGACGCUGAGUGCGCGAAAGCCAGGGGAGCGAACGGG